UACGUAGGGCGCAAGCGUUGUCCGGAAUUAUUGGGCGUAAAGAGCUCGUAGGCGGCUUGUCGCGUCGACUGUGAAAACCCGCGGCUUAACUGUGGGACUGCAGUCGAUACGGGCUAGCUAGAGUUCGGUAGGGGAGACUGGAAUUCCUGGUGUAGCGGUGAAAUGCGCAGAUAUCAGGAGGAACACCGGUGGCGAAGGCGGGUCUCUGGGCCGAUACUGACGCUGAGGAGCGAAAGCGUGGGGAGCGAACAGG
rnacentral:rRNA from 1 species